rfam:Parcubacteria bacterium GW2011_GWA2_38_27 TS88_C0011, whole genome shotgun sequence.
UCCGCGGUAGCUCAAUGGUGGAGCAAGAAGCUGUUAACUUCAAGGUUGCAGGUUCGAGUCCUGCCCGCGGAG